CACAGCCAUUUCCCAGACCCUGAGCAGAGGAAGAAAGGGGGAGAAACUGAAGAUAUGCCCGGGGAGGAAGAAGGGCAGAUGGAAAAGGAAGACCCAGGGAACAGCAAGGACUGGCUCAGCACCCCUCCGCAGGGUCACUGCCUGCUCCCCGCAGGGUCACACGAUAAGCCACCCCAGCCUUUAUCUGGGUGGCCUUGAGUGGGUCCCAGCCUUUCUGCUGGCUCUGCAGUGCCAGGAGGAGCCUGGCACGUGUACUCAAUGAAACGCACAAUACGUUAAAAGAGGGAACGAAAGAAUGAAUGAGGCUGAAGAUGCUUCAACGCCUGCUGACUCUUCCUCCCCUGACUCUGGAGCCCCAGCUGUGUUCUCUGCUGGGAGCUCAGCUCCCACCCAGAACCCUGUGGGCACCCAAUAAAGAAUCAGAGGGUCAGUGGGACUGGGAAAUGGGAGAUUAAACAAUGUUCACAGGGAUCUCUCCCGUAGGACUUCUUGGAAUCUGGAAGGUACCAAUGUUCAUGGAGAGUCAGACACAGGUGAUCUUAAAUCCCAGACUCUGACGCCUCGUUGCCCAGCAUCCCUCUCGGGUGGGAUGGCUCAGCCACUGAG